AGCGAACGCUGGCGGCAGGCCUAACACAUGCCAGUCGAACGAACCUUUCGGGGUUAGUGGCGGACGGGAGGGUAACACGUGGGAACGUGCCUUUAGGUUCGGAAUAACUCAGGGAAACUUGUGCUAAUACCGAAUGUGCCCUUCGGGGGAAAGAUUAAUCGCCUUUAGAGCGGCCCGCGUCUGAUUAGCUAGUUGGUUGAGGUAAUGGCUCACCAAGGCGACGAUCUGUAGCUGGUCUGAGAGGAUGAUCAGCCACAUUGGGACUGAGACACGGCCCAAACUCCUACGGGAGGCAGCAGUGGGGAAUCUUGCGCAAUGGGCGAAAGCCUGACGCAGCCAUGCCGCGUGAAUGAUGAAGGUCUUAGGAUUGUAAAAUUCUUUCAACGGGGACGAUAAUGACGGUACCCGGAGAAGAAGCCCCGGCUAACUUCGUG
rnacentral:rRNA from 1 species